rnacentral:rRNA from 1 species
GACGAACGCUGGCGGCGUGCCUAAUACAUGCAAGUAGAACGCUGAAGCUUGGUGCUUGCACCGAGCGGAUGAGUUGCGAACGGGUGAGUAACGCGUAGGUAACCUGCCUGGUAGCGGGGGAUAACUAUUGGAAACGAUAGCUAAUACCGCAUAAGAGUAGAUGUUGCAUGACAUUUUCUUAAAAGGUGCAAUUGCAUCACUACCAGAUGGACCUGCGUUGUAUUAGCUAGUUGGUGAGGUAACGGCUCACCAAGGCAACGAUACAUAGCCGACCUGAGAGGGUGAUCGGACACACUGGGACUGAGACACGGCCCAGACUCCUACGGGAGGCAGCAGUAGGGAAUCUUCGGCAAUGGACGGAAGUCUGACCGAGCAACGCCGCGUGAGGGAAGAAGGGUUUCGGAUCGUAAAGCUCUGUUGUAAGAGAAGAACGAGUGUGAGAGUGGAAAGUUCACACUGUGACGGUAUCUUACCAGAAAGGGACGGCUAACUACGUG